UGGGGGAUAUUGCACAAUGGGCGAAAGCCUGAUGCAGCGACGCCGCGUGGGGGAUGAAGGCCUUCGGGUUGUAAACUUCUUUUGCUCUGAACAAGGCAUGCUAAUGGGUGUGUUGAGUGUAGGGGUUGAUUAGCGCCGGCUAACUACGUGCCAGCAGCCGCGGUAAUACGUAGGGCGCGAGCGUUGUCCGGAAUUAUUUGGCGUAAAGGGCAUGUAGGUGGCUGGUUGCGUCUGUCGUGACAGCUCCUGGCUUAACUGUGGGUUUGCUGUGGGUACGGGCUGGCUUGAGUGCAGUAGAGGAGGCUGGAAUUCCUGGUGUAGCGGUGGAAUGCGCAGAUAUCAGGAGGAAUACCGGUGGCGAAGGCGGGUCUCUGGGCUGUUACUGACACUGAGGAGCGAAAGCAUGGGGAGCGAACAGG
rnacentral:rRNA from 1 species